rnacentral:rRNA from 1 species
AGCGAACGCUGGCGGCAUGCCUAACACAUGCAAGUCGAACGAGACCUUCGGGUCUAGUGGCGCACGGGUGCGUAACGCGUGGGAACCUGCCCUUAGGUUCGGAAUAACUCCCCGAAAGGGGUGCUAAUACCGGAUAAUGUCUUCGGACCAAAGAUUUAUCGCCUUUGGAUGGGCCCGCGUUGGAUUAGCUAGUUGGUAGGGUAAAAGCCUACCAAGGCGACGAUCCAUAGCUGGUCUGAGAGGAUGAUCAGCCACACUGGGACUGAGACACGGCCCAGACUCCUACGGGAGGCAGCAGUGGGGAAUAUUGGACAAUGGGCGAAAGCCUGAUCCAGCAAUGCCGCGUGAGUGAUGAAGGCCUUAGGGUUGUAAAGCUCUUUUACCCGGGAUGAUAAUGACAGUACCGGGAGAAUAAGCCCCGGCUAACUCCGUG